GAGACUCUGUGCGCGUGCAUAUCAAUAAGCGGAGGAAAAGAAACUAACAAGGAUUCCCUUAGUAACGGCGAGUGAAGCGGGAAGAGCUCAAAUUUGAAAUCUUCAAGGUUUUACCUUGACGAAUUGUAGUUUAUAGAAGUGUUUUCUGUUAGUAGAGUUUGGUAAAAGUUCUUUGGAAUAGGACAUCAUAGAGGGUGAGAAUCCCGUAUUUGAUCAUUAUUUCCUAGCUGUGUGAUACACUUUCAACGAGUCGGAUUGUUUGGGAAUGCAGUCCAAAAUGGGUGGUAAAUUUCAUCUAAAGCUAAAUAUUGGCGAGAGACCGAUAGCGAACAAGUACCGUGAGGGAAAGAUGAAAAGAACUUUGAAAAGAGAGUUAAACAGUACGUGAAAUUGUCAAAAGGGAAGCGUUUGACACCAGUGUUGUUUAGUUCGAAAAUCAAUUCAAGAAUGUUUUAUUUUGAGUAAGUAUUGACUUCAUCAGCUUGCUUCUUUCUUUCCUGAAACUUAUUGAAUGCACUUUUCAGGUUAACAAGUCAACAUCAAUUUCUUUUGUUGUAAAAGGGUAUGAGGAAGGUGGCUUUCUCUUCGGCGCAAGUGUUUAUAGCCUUGUAGCCUCUGCAAUCGGAGAGAUUGAGGUCUGCAGCGUAGAUCCUUCGGGGUUAGAUACAUUUGUGCUAAGCUAUAGCCUUGUAUAGACAACUUGUUGACUAUGCUUCAGUCAUGUAGCUUACUCGCUUAUGCUAUUUUACCUACGCUUAGGAUGUUGACAGCAGUAUAGACUGU
rnacentral:rRNA from 1 species